CAAUAGCGUAUAUUAAAGCUGUUGCGGUUAAAAAGCUCGUAGUUGGAUUUCUGUCAAGGACAACUGGUCCGCCCUCCGGGUGAGCACAUAGUUUGGUCUUGGCAUCUUGCUGGAAACUGUUGCUGCGCUUGGUUGUGUGGUGCAGCUUUCAGCACUUUCACUUUGAGGAAAUUGGAGUGUUUCAAGCAGGCACAUGCCUUUGGACACAGUAGCAUGGAAUAAUUAGAUUGGGCUUUUGCUCCAACUUGUUGGUUCCUGGAGCUGAGGUGAGAAUCAAUGGGGAUUGUUGGGGGCAUCCGAAUUUAGCCAUCAGAGGUGAAAUUCUUGGAUCUGCUAAAGACGGACAACUGCGAAAGCGUUUGCCCAGGAUGUUUUCAUUG
rnacentral:rRNA from 1 species